GAUGAACGCUGGCGGCGUGCCUAAUACAUGCAAGUCGAGCGAACAGACGAGGAGCUUGCUCCUCUGACGUUAGCGGCGGACGGGUGAGUAACACGUGGAUAACCUACCUAUAAGACUGGGAUAACUUCGGGAAACCGGAGCUAAUACCGGAUAAUAUAUUGAACCGCAUGGUUCAAUAGUGAAAGACGGUUUUGCUGUCACUUAUAGAUGGAUCCGCGCCGCAUUAGCUAGUUGGUAAGGUAACGGCUUACCAAGGCAACGAUGCGUAGCCGACCUGAGAGGGUGAAUGGCCCACCUGGAACUGAAGCAAGGUCCCAGCUCCUAAGGGAGGCAACAGUAAGGAAACUUCCGCCAUGGGCGGAAGCCUGGACGGGCCAACGCCGCGGGGUGGAGAAGGUCUUUCGAUUCUAAAAACCUGUUAAUAGGGAAGAACAAAUGUGUAAGUAACUAUGCACGUCUUGACGGUACCUAAUCAGAAAGCCACGGCUAACUACGUG
rnacentral:rRNA from 1 species